UACAGAGGGUGCAAGCGUUGUUCGGAAUUAUUGGGCGUAAAGCGCGUGUAGGCGGCUUUGCAAGUCGGGUGUGAAAGCCCUCAGCUCAACUGAGGAAGUGCGCCCGAAACUGCAGAGCUUGAGUGCCGGAGAGAGUGGCGGAAUUCCCCAAGUAGAGGUGAAAUUCGUAGAUAUCUGGAGGAACACCGGUGGCGAAGGCGGCAUCCUGGACCGGCAUUGACGCUGAGGCGCGAAAGCUAGGGGAGCAAACGGG
rnacentral:rRNA from 1 species